rnacentral:tRNA from 1 species
GUUGAGAUGGAUGAGUUGGUCGAAGGUGCUAGAUUAAGGUUCUGGUCCGAAAGGGUGUGGGUUCAAACCCCACUCUCAACA